AACGAACGCUGGCGGCAGGCCUAAUACAUGCAAGUCGAACGCCCCGCAAGGGGAGUGGCGCACGGGUGAGUAACGCGUGGGAAUGUGCCCUUAGGUGCGGAACAACGUUUGGAAACGAACGCUAAUACCGCAUAAUCUCUCCGGAUCAAAGAUUUAAAGCCUAGGGAUCAGCCCGCGUUGGAUUAACUAGUUGGGGGGGUAACGGCCUACCAAGGCGACGAGCCAUAGCUGGUCGGAGAGGAUGAUCAGCCACACUGGGACUGAGACACGGCCAAGACUCCUACGGGAGGCAGCAGUAAGGAAUAUUGGACAAUGGGAGCAACCCUGAUCCAGCCAUGCCGCGUGAGUGAUGAAGGCCUUCGGGUUGUAAAGCUCUUUUAGGUGUGACGAUGAUGACGGUAACACCAGAAAAAGCUCCGGCUAACUUCGUGCCAGCCGCCGCUGUAAAAC
rnacentral:rRNA from 1 species